rnacentral:rRNA from 1 species
UGGGGAAUCUUGGACAAUGGGGGCAACCCUGAUCCAGCCAUGCCGCGUGAGUGAUGAAGGCCUUAGGGUCGUAAAGCUCUUUCGCCUGUGAAGAUAAUGACGGUAGCAGGUAAAGAAACCCCGGCUAACUCCGUGCCAGCAGCCGCGGUAAUACGGAGGGGGUUAGCGUUGUUCCGAAUUACUGGGCGUAAAGCGCACGUAGGCGGACCAGAAAGUUGGGGGUGAAAUCCCGGGGGCUCAACCCCGGAACUGCCUCCAAAACUAUUGGUCUAGAGUUCGAGAGAGGUGAGUGGAAUUCCAAGUGUAGAGGUGAAAUUCGUAGAUAUUUGGAGGAACACCAGUGGCGAAGGCGGCUCACUGGCUCGAUACUGACGCUGAGGUGCGAAAGUGUGGGGAGCAAACAGGAUUAGAUACCCUGGGUAGUCCACACCGUAAAACGAUGAAUGCCAGUCGUCGGGUAGCAUGCUAUUCGGUGACACACCU